CAUGCAUCAAAAAUUUAAAACAGACUGAGGACAUUUUUCAUGUAAAUGUUUGAUAUAAAUACAACAAGUAAACAAAUGGAAUGUCAACGACCAGUAAUGUUGAAAGCAGAAUGAUUUUGAAAAUAGAAAAAAAUAAAUAGGACUAGAUUACAUUAAAAUGCCUUAACAAAUUUACACAACACAUCCUGUUAGAAGAAUAAUUUCUCUGGAGAUAGAAAUAUUGAUAACUAGAAUCAGCAAUUUAUAUGAAAUUUGUUAUGAGACAUAGAUUCAUGACCAAAAUGGUAAUCCAGGUGGUUCAAGUGAUUAUUAGCAGACAUUUUGAACUAAUGCAGGAUUGAAUAAAUGAAACUUAAAACAGAUUAUGGGCUCAAAGUGUAGUAACAAGAGGAUUUUUAAAUAUUUGAAACUCAUCAACAUUAAAAUUUGCAUAAGUGAGAUGUAACAAUAUUUAUUAAAAAAUUCAGAUAUUUGA